UACGUAGGGAGCUAGCGUUAUCCGGAUUUAUUGGGCGUAAAGAGCGUGUAGGCGGCCAGGUAGGUCUGCUGUGAAAACUCGAGGCUCAACCUCGAGACGUCGGCGGAAACCAUCUGGCUAGAGUCCGGAAGAGGAGAGUGGAAUUCCUGGUGUAGCGGUGAAAUGCGCAGAUAUCAGGAAGAACACCCGUGGCGAAGGCGGCUCUCUGGGACGGUACUGACGCUGAGACGCGAAAGCGUGGGGAGCGAACAGG
rnacentral:rRNA from 1 species